CCUACGGGUGGCUGCAGUAGGGGAUAUUGCUCAAUGGGGGAAACCCUGAAGCAGCAACGCCGCGUGGAGGAUGAAGGUUUUCGGAUUGUAAACUCCUUUUGUUAGAGAAGAUAAUGACGGUAUCUAACGAAUAAGCACCGGCCAACUCCGUGCCAGCAGCCGCGGUAAUACGGAGGGUGCCAGCGUUACUCGGAAUUACUUGGCGGAAAGAGCGCGGAGGCGGGGUAGCAAGGCAGAUGUGAAAUCCUAUGGCUUAAACAUGGAACUGCAUUUGAAACUGUUAUUCUAGAGUAUGGGAGAGGUAGGUGGAAUUCUUGGUGUAGGGGUAAAAUGCGUAGAGAUCAAGAGGAAUACUCAUGGCGAAGGCGACCUGCUAGAACAUAACUGACGCUGAUGCGCGAAAGCGUGGGGAGCAAACAGGAUUAGAUACCCGGGUAGUC
rnacentral:rRNA from 1 species